rnacentral:rRNA from 1 species
UGGGGAAUAUUGCACAAUGGGCGAAAGCCUGAUGCAGCAACGCCGCGUGAGUGAUGAAGGUCUUCGGAUUGUAAAGCUCUGUCUUUUGGGACGAUAAUGACGGUACCAAAGGAGGAAGCCACGGCUAACUACGUGCCAGCAGCCGCGGUAAUACGUAGGUGGCGAGCGUUGUCCGGAUUUACUGGGCGUAAAGGGUGCGUAGGCGGAUGUUUAAGUGAGAUGUGAAAUACCCGGGCUUAACUUGGGUGCUGCAUUUCAAACUGGAUAUCUAGAGUGCAGGAGAGGAGAAUGGAAUUCCUAGUGUAGCGGUGAAAUGCGUAGAGAUUAGGAAGAACACCAGUGGCGAAGGCGAUUCUCUGGACUGUAACUGACGCUGAGGCACGAAAGCGUGGGUAGCAAACAGGAUUAGAUACCCUGGUAGUCCACGCCGUAAACGAUGAGUACUAG